AUGGUAUGUGGAGAUAGUGUGACUCCUGACAAGGAGGAGUACACCCCCACUGAGGGAUCAUCAGUGUCUCUGAGCUGGACAUAUGAAACAAGCAGCAGUAUCAGCUACCUUUACUGGUACCAACAAUACCCUAACCAUGCACCUGAGUACCUACUGUUUAAUCUAACUGCACUUGCAUGCUACUCCUCCAUACCCACGACUGUCUGUAAACUAAAUGAUGAGAGAACCCAUGUGGACCUGGAGAUCUCCUCUGCUGAAGUGACACAUUCUGCUCUGUACUACUGUGCCCUGUAG